rnacentral:rRNA from 1 species
UUGGAGGGCAAGUCUGGUGCCAGCAGCCGCGGUAAUUCCAGCUCCAAUAGCGUAUAUUAAAGUUGUUGCAGUUAAAAAGCUCGUAGUUGAAUUUCGGGGUUCUACCGUUGGUCGGACUUUGUCUGUACUGGUGUGUAGAAUUUCUACCUUCUGGGGAACCAUCAUGCUAUUAAUUUAGCGUGGUGGGAAACCAGGACCUUUACCUUGAAAAAAUUAGUGUGUCCAAAGCAGGCUUAUGUCUGAAUACAUUAGCGUGGAAUAAUAGAAUAGGACGGUGGUCCUGUUUUGUUGGUUUCUGAAUCGCCGUAAUGAUUAAUAGGGAUAGUUGGGGGCAUUAGUAUUCAAUUGUCAGAGGUGAAAUUCUUGGAUUUAUUGAAGACUAACUUCUGCGAAAGCAUUUGCCAAGGAUGUUUUCAUUAAUCAAGAACGAAAGUUAGGGGAUCGAAGACGAUCAGAUACCGUCGUAGUCUUAACCAUAAACUAUGCCGACUAGGGAUCGGACGAUGUUAAUUUUUCUUGACUCGUUCGGCGCCUUACGGGA